AGAGUCGUCUCUGAAAAGAGAGAUUUUAGAGAUGGUAAGAAACGCAUACGUGGCGUAUUGUGAUUGGUUAAAAUUUUAGACAAAAGAGAUUUUUUUUUCCUUUCUUUUCCUCGACUUUCUAUCUCUUUCUCUCUUGCUCGACAAACGGUUAAAGCGAAAUCGAAGAAGAUAAACCCAGCGAUUUGCCUCAUCCGUCGUCUGGGUUUAGUGAAUAAUACUAAAGUCUUAUAUGUGUGUUUUGGCAACAGGGUGCUUUAUGUGUUUCAGAAAGUGUUUUACAGAUCGAAUCCAGCUAGAGAAGCGUUUGUGGAGAUGUGUACUCAUCAUGCCUUUCCUUGACAACCAGCUCAAGUCUCCGAGUCCUCUUCUGCUACCUAAACAGGCUGAUUUGAGAAGAAGGGAAGGCUCUUUUCGAGUUUCAGAGCAUGUGGGAGAUAAAGCAAAAGGACUUGGCAGUGAAAGAGAAGCUUAGCAAGCAGAAAUUGCUUGACAGUCUACUUGCAAAAACAGAGCCGCUCACUGAGAUGGAAAUGGCUUUGAAAGAGAAGCUAAUAACAUGUUGGCUUAGCAAGGGGAAAUGGCUUUGACAGUUCGCUGAACUGUUUGUUUGUUUCAAUUUCAGUUUCUGUUUCUUUAAUGGUCUUGAAUGUUGUUCUUAUUUCAGUUUCUGUUUGUGUUUUUAAUGGCUUGAAUGAUGUUGUUUCCUUUGAUCGGUUGUAUGUUUCUUAUUAAUGAAUGAGUUUCAGUUUCAGUUUCGGUUUUA